rnacentral:ncRNA from 1 species
UUUGACACUUUGAACCGAGCCUUUUCCAAAGGAAGGCGUUCCGACUAAAACGGCGCGUCUGUGAUCUUGCAGGGCUCCGGCAACGAUCUCGGAGGCAGAAGCCGACCCUUCAUUCAACAACACAACCAAGGGCAGUCCGUUCGCCAAAUCUCCCGGUGUUGCCACUUCCCGCGUUGUUUCUUCUGGAUUUUUGGAACGUGUUGAAACAAUCUCUCCUUCUUCCAAAAAAGUAUCGGCAACACCGAUUGCCUGAUCCAGCAAACCGCCCGGAUUAUUACGCA